AAGACUGUCCUUUCAGGGAUCAUUUUUAUAGUCUGGUAAUAGAGAAGUUUCUCUGAAUACGUACAUAAAAAAGAGAGACUCACUGGCUUU
rnacentral:snoRNA from 1 species